rnacentral:rRNA from 1 species
GACGAACGCUGGCGGCGUGCUUAACACAUGCAAGUCGAGCGAGAUCCAUCCGGUGGCAACACCGGGGAAGAUCUAGCGGCGAACGGGUGAGUAACACGUGAGCAACCUGCCCCGAAGACUGGGAUAACACCGGGAAACCGGUGCUAAUACCGGAUGUCCUCCUCUGGUCGCAUGGCCUAAGGAGGAAACGAGCUUUGCUUCGGGAGGGGCUCGCGGGCUAUCAGCUUGUUGGUGGGGUAACGGCUCACCAAGGCGACGACGGCUAGCUGGUCUGAGA